AUUCGAUCCAAGUCUUCCGGGUCAAGACAGAACCUAGUCCGGCAUCCAGCUUCUCCCCUUCCUCUCUCUGUCUCUCUUCCGGCUUCACUCUCUUCCCCGCCAACGAACUCCCCGCGCUUCUAGCUGGAACCCUAACUUGAUAACAUCGGCGGUAUCAUUCCUCCGGCGACUUCCGACUGGCUGAUCUUGGCAUUGGAAGAAAUGGAUGUCAAACCAACAGUUGCUUUGAGGGCGGCACUCGUAGGUGCAUUGGCUGCAUUUGCAAAAGUUGCUGGUGCAGUAAAGGCUGCCGGUGGAGCAAAAGUUGGUGCAGCAGCAGCUGCAAUGACCGCGGCUGCUACAGCAGCAAUGUCAGGAAGCAAGGGGAAGUCAGAUGAUUCUCCAAAGAAGCCAUCAAAUUGAUUUUUGAUGGACAACGUAUUAUUCAAACAGGGCUUAACAUCUUUUGUUAAUAAUAUACAAAAUGUUGUACGAAAGGCGGCCUUUCCUAGUUUCCUAGUCACCUUUGCCUUUGAGAAACAAGAAGAAUUCGAAUGGCAAGAGGCGUCUACAUAGGCUUGAUCAAGUAGUGAUAAGCAGUGCCAAACAACAAGAGCCAUGAUCAAAUGGUAGCAUAAUGGAACAUCCAGGGUUCGAGAACUGGUAUACGUAGAGGAGAAAGGAAGAAGAGCCAUGAUCCCAAACAGAAAAGAACGCUGCCAAUCUCUUUCUCUCUCUCCGUAUUUCUUGAUGCUCCAUCUAUGGUAAACCAAUAUUUUCUUUCACCGAGGGACAUGUAUUAAACCAAUAUUUACUUUCAGGAGCCGCCAUCUUUUUCACGGCCAACAUAUUUCACUGUCUUAGCUGCCCCUUUUCUCUCCUUUCUCAAUCUCCGGA